CGGGGUGGAGUAAUGUCUGGGAAACGGCCUGAUGGAGGGGGAUAACUACUGGAAACGGUAGCUAAUACCGCAUAACGUCUUCGGACCAAAGUGGGGGGACUUCGGGCCUCACGCCAUCGGAUGUGCCCAGAUGGGAUUAGCUAGUAGGUGGGGUAAUGGCUCACCUAGGCGACGAUCCCUAGCUGGUCUGAGAGGAUGACCAGCCACACUGGAACUGAGACACGGUCCAG
rnacentral:rRNA from 1 species